AGCUUGAUUUCAGGGAUCCUGAGGGAAGUAAAUGCAAAAAGUCAAGGAAGGUGUCCCAGUGCCUUUUGGGACCUUAUAUGAAAACAAUCAAUUAUUUGAGUUCUGGGACAUUAACUCACAUUUAUACGUACUAAGAGAAACUUGCUACUUUAUCUGUUUGGAAUCAUUUUGAAGACAGAAACUUUAGAUGGAAAAGAUCUUUUGGGGACGAAUUCACACGUUUGUUAACUGGAUUUUAUCACGCCUAGAUAAAUCUUCCCAAGGAAGAUUUCCUGAAUCAGGCCUCAGGACUGCUCUGUGCAGGAAGAGUGAAGUCAACACCUUUGGUUGAAGGAGUUCAUCUACAGCACGGACCAUGCUUGGAGGAGGAAGAAUCACAGAACUUGAAGUAACAUCUGCCUCAUCAUGAACUUUGGAAGUUUAGAUCAAAUGGGCCUAAACAGGAAUGCUCAUGGAAUUCUGAUGAACAAGAGUUUUCUAAAAAUAUGUUCCCAAGUUCUUCCCUCUACAAGCAUUCACUGAAGACUUGACCUCAUGCUAUUACCCUGUGAAAGUGGAAUUUUAAAACAGCCAACCCCAAACAAACCUGUACUAAUCCCAGGGUGGCCAGCUUUACCCAUCGCUAAUGAAACCCAAGAGGGUCCCGAAGUGAAGUGUGACAAUUUGAGAGGCAGAGUGAAGAUCACAGAGGUGAGAAGCCUAUCACCUCUUUUUUCCCAUCCCAAGGAACAUACGGGCCAGACUUAGCAUGUCCGAAGUUCUUGUGGCCUGGACAGAAGUCCCCUGCCUGAGAGCUACAAGGAGAUGGAUGCCCACCUCUGUCACACUCUCUCCUCUAGCUGGCCCAGCUCAGCCCUUUCAAAGGUGCCUUAGCUGACUGAGGGCAUUCAGCUGUGACAGC